ACCAUUGAGAAGUAAGGGUGUAUUUCAUUACACAGACACUGCUGAAUUUUAGGUUACAUGCCAUUGGAUUGAUAUAUAAAAAACACUUGUAAAACACACCCAUCUUGUUGAUAGAAUAGUUAUUUGCAGUAUACUAACUGUUGGCAUACUCUAUUUCAGGACUAUCAAUUGUUUUUGUCACUGGCAGUCUUUGAAAUACAAUCUUGCUCUGUGGCCUUUACUGACAAGUUGGCUUUUACUACAUAUGUGGCACUGACACUUCUUUAAUUAAUGCACCAGUCAAUGUAAACCCCCCAACCGGGGAGGGGCAGGGAUUUUGACUUGGAGGGGUAGUAAAAGAGCGAAAUUAUCCCCACCCAUAACGAGCGAAAUUAUCAUAGAUCAGCAAUAGAAAAUCAAAUUCAUUUAUGUUGUUGUAUUUAAACUUUUCUUGUCAAGAAAACUAAAACAGCAACGCAGGAUAUAUAUGUUAACCACCGUCCAAGUCAUCCAUCAUCGGGACAAAUUUAUAAUCAAAACUGACCACUUUCCCCUCUAAACCUCCCGCCCCUCCCCGGUUGGGGGCAGGGAUUUACAUUGACUGGUGCAUAACUAGAUGAUUGCAUGAAGUAUUGCAUGGAAGUUGGUUUAUAAUUAGUUUAUGAAUAAACUCACACUUUCAUUAUAAUGGUUGAUCGAAGAUAUCAAAUGCAUUUGAUUGGUUGAUGGUCCCUUAAUGGUAAUGGUAGUCAAAUAUGAACCUAUAUAAUGUCAUCAAUAUACUGGAAAAGUAUCAAAUUAAAUUUUAAUUGUCAAUGUUGUGGAAAAUAAAUAAAUCAAAC